UCCAGAGUACCACGAGACACGUGAAACCUUGUGGGAAGCAGGGAGGACCACCUCCCAAGGCUAAAUACUAACUGGUGACCGAUAGUGAAGCAGUACCGUGAGGGAAAGGUGAAAAGAACCCCGGGAGGGGAGUGAAAUAGAACCUGAAACCGUGUGUCCACAACCGGUCAAAGCACUUUUACGUGCGAUGACGUGCUUUUUGUAGAACGAGCCAGCGAGUUACGAUAUGUAGCAAGGUUAAGCACUUAAGGUGCGCAGCCGAAGGGAAACCGAGUCUGAAUAGGGCAAAAAGUUGCAUGUCGUAGACCCGAAACCGGGUGACCUAUCCAUGGACAGGUUGAAGCGGAAGUAAAAUUCCGUGGAGGACCGAACCACGUUGGUGUUGAAAAACCAUGGGAUGAGCUGUGGAUAGCGGAGAAAUUCCAAUCGAACCCGGAGAUAGCUGGUUCUCCUCGAAAUAGCUUUAGGGCUAGCGUUUUGAAUGAGUAAUGGAGGUAGAGCACUGAAUGGGCUAGGGGCUGACAACAGUUACUGAACCCUAUCAAACUCCGAAUGCCAUAUACUUGAAUCAAAGCAGUCAGACUACGAAUGAUAAGAUCCGUGGUCAAAAGGGAAACAGCCCAGAUCAUCAGCUAAGGUCCCAAAGUGUAAGUUAAGUGGAAAAGGAUGUGGGAUUUCUAAGACAACUAGGAUGUUGGCUUAGAAGCAGCCACUCAUUCAAAGAGUGCGUAAUAGCUCACUAGUCGAGAGAUCCUGCGCCGAAGAUGUUCGGGGCUAAAACUUACCACCGAAGCUAUGGGCUCGAAAGAGCGGUAGAGGAGCUUCCUGUAUGGAUUGAAGUCGUACCGAAAGGAGCGGUGGACUGUACAGGAGUGAGUAUGCUGGCAUAAGUAGCGAGAAAUAAGUGAGAAUCUUAUUGGUCGAAAACCUAAGGUUUCCUGAGGAAGGCUCGUCCGCUCAGGGUUAGUCGGGACCUAAGCCGAGGCCGAAAGGCGUAGGUGAUGGACAAUCGGUUGAUAUUCCGAUACCGCCAACUGACGUUAUUACAAAUGGGAUGACGCAGGAGGAUAAGAUGUGC
rnacentral:rRNA from 1 species